GACGGAGGGGGCAAGCGUUGUCCGGAAUCACUGGGCGUAAAGGGCGCGUAGGCGGCGCGGUAAGUCGGGUGUGAAAUUUCGAGGCUUAACUUCGAAACUGCAUUCGAUACUGCCGUGCUUGAGGACUGGAGAGGAGACUGGAAUUUACGGUGUAGCGGUGAAAUGCGUAGAUAUCGUAAGGAAGACCAGUGGCGAAGGCGGGUCUCUGGACAGUUCCUGACGCUGAGGCACGAAGGUCAGGGGAGCAAACGGG
rnacentral:rRNA from 1 species